rnacentral:RNase_P_RNA from 1 species
GUGGUAAAUUGUCUUAUCGCUAUUUCAUUUAUGAAAUGGAGGAAAGUCCGAACACCAUAGUGCAUCAUAGUGGUUAACAGCCACCGACCGAGAGGUUAGGAAAAGUGCAACAGAAAGUAUGUACAGGUAAUGCUGUAGUGAAAUCAGGUAAACUCUAUGUGGUGCAAUGUCAUGUAAACCAACGUUUGAGGGUUGCACGCCCAAUGUUGGAGGGUAGACAGCUAAAGUUUGUUGGUGACAAUAGACUCAGAUAAAUGAUAAGAAACUUAUCUUUUUAGAAUUCUUUUCUUAAAAAGAAAAGUAUACAGAAUUCGGCUUAUAGAUUUGCCUACUAA